rnacentral:rRNA from 1 species
CCUACGGGAGGCUGCAGUGAGGAAUAUUGGUCAAUGGGCGUAAGUCUGAACCAGCCAAGUCGCGUGAAGGAUGAAUGCCCUAUGGAUUGUAAACUUCUUUUAUAUGGGAAUAAAGUGUUCCACGUGUGGGAUUUUGUAUGUACCAUAUGAAUAAGGAUCGGCUAACUCCGUGCCAGCAGCCGCGGUAAUACGGAGGAUCCGAGCGUUAUCCGGAUUUAUUGGGUUUAAAGGGUGCGUAGGUGGCUUGUUAAGUCAGUUGUGAAAGUUUGCGGCUCAACCGUAAAAUUGCAGUUGAAACUGGCAGGCUUGAGUACAGUAGAGGCGGGCGGAAUGCGUGGUGUAGCGGUGAAAUGCUUAGAUAUCACGAAGAACUCCGAUUGCGAAGGCAGCUCACUGGACUGUAACUGACACUGAGGCUCGAAAGUGUGGGUAUCAAACAGGAUUAGAUACCCUAGUAGUC